CCUGGUGCGCGCCGAGUGCCGCGGGGCGCUGGACGGCGUCCCCUUCUGCAGCACCCUAAAAGGUGAGACGGGAGGGGAAGGGGGGGGGGGGGGGGUUUGGGGUGGCGACCCCAAGUUUGGGGGCGUCCUGGCCCCCUUCCCGACCCCGGGGAUUUGGGAGUGGUGGCAGCGGGGCUGUGCUGCGCCAGGGUACGUGACCAUGCGGCUGGAGACCCUGGAGCAGGAGCAGCACCAGAGGCUGGAGGUGAGCGGCGUGGCCCCCACGGGGGUGGCACGUCCCCGUUGUCCCCCCCCUCACAUUUGGGGGCAGCCCCGUGGCCCCGUCCCCUGCCCCGUGCCGCAGCCGGGGGCGGGGAGGGAGCACCCCAAAACCCAAGCCCGGCCUCGGGAGCUUGGGGAAGGGAUCCCCCAGCCCCACUGAGGGGGGCGUUGGGGUGGCUCUGCCCCCGAAACCCCGCAGUUCGCAGCGCACCCCAUAGAGACGAGGACCCACAUGGUGCAGCAGCCCCGCGGGAUGGCCGUCACCGUCAGCACCCGGGAGGGGAAGGCAGAACCCCGGUCCCGGGACUUCUCCUACGGCUGGGCCUCGCUGGGGGGGCUGCUGGGGGAGGCCGCCAGCCUCCUGCUGCUGCGGGUGCUGGCUCGCCGCCGCGCCGUGCCCCCCGGCCUCGUCUUCCCGGCCAUCGACGGCGAGGGGCACCUCGGCACCGCCACCUACGUGAGCCCUCCUGGCCCCUGGGCAGGGGGCGUUUUGGGGGGGAGGAUUG
rnacentral:lncRNA from 1 species